GAAAAUCAGAACUUAGUUUACUCUCUUUGGGAUUGCCUAUAAAAGGGCAUUAGAGGCCUUGGAAAAGGGGUCGGCUCUGAUGCUGCUGCCUUGAGCCUUAAGUUUUAAUUUGAGCUUUCAUUCUUGUUAAAAAAUGAGUUAAGAUUUCAGUCCUGAGGUUAUUCAGAAAUUAAAACACCAAAAUAUGGAGAUCUAAAACAGUUUCACAGCUUCAUCACCAAUUCUGGGUUUCAGCUGUGAGGGCCAGGGAAGUGUUAGAAGUUUGUUAAGCUGAUCGGUGGGAAUUUGUUUAUAUUUCUGGUUUCAAAGCAAUCUGCCUGUGUUUCUGUGGUGUAUCAUUGCUGGGCUUGUUGUUUGUUGCUGUUGAAAUUGGCUGAUUCCUCUCCUUUUCUCUAUUUUCAUUACAAUUCCCAGGUACAUUUCCUUGACUCUCACCUAUGUAAGUCCAAGUUUGAAGUGGAGAACAAUGAAGAAUGCUACUGAAUUCUAUUGCCUUAGGAAACAUUGUCUGUUGGCUAUUUUUUCCAUAGUUUAAUUUCUGUAAAUUGUCUAACUGUUAGUAGUUGAUUUAAUUGGUGUUGAUUCGAGCCAAUAACUGAGUUGUAUAACUGAGACUGAUGAAUCGUCCAGCAUAAUCUUGAUUGUUUUAAUUAGUAAGUGGGCAGUUGGGUAUUCAGGUUCAUAUUCCAGGGUGAGGGGUUGUGUAAAUUGAGCAUUUCAUGUUUAUACAAUUGUAAUUUUCUAUCUGCUUAAGUUUCACAAUACGCUGAAAUUAAAUCUGCAAAAGUUGCAGUAGAUUUGGAGUCUGUACGCAUUGGUCGAUUUUAAAUUUGGGUUAGUCUGAAUCACAUAUUUAAACAGCCUCAGAUUGGGCGAAUUUUGGGGGCCUGGCAUUUUAGUAGGUAGUCCAAAAGGUGGGAAAUUAAAGGGAGCCCAAGGAUUCGAUCUCUGGGCCACCCGAGUGCAAGCCAAAUUUUGGGCUUGCUUUAGGCCCGACGCAAAAAUGCACUAAGGGCCUGCGCCCACAGCCUGUGCAAUGGCCAGAUUGGGCUUUGUGAGCUCAGGGCCCAUUUACUCGGCAUUUCUGCCCGGAUAUUCCACUUCAAACUCAACGAGUUGUAGGACUAAUUAAUUAGAAUCCUCAAGUAGUUAACGGCACAAUUAUUCCAUUGCGUAGACUUGGAAAGGAUGUUUAGUGAAUUUCACUGCCUUUCCCAAAAUAACAAUACGUUAGAAUCAUUAAGCACACUCUUAAAUAAGUUACCUUCUUAAACUCGGGUGCGCAUUGAUGCGACCCAAAUCCAAAUCUCGAUGAAACCAAAACGUGUAGACAAUCACGGGUGCAUUGAUUGCGACGUGGUUCGAAAUGCGUUUUCGCAACAUCGUAAUCCUUAUAAAUAAAUAAUAAUAGAAAAGAGGUUUACAAAUUGAAACGGGUCUUACCACACAAAACAAACAAAUGUGGGGACCUUAGUAAGUAAUUAUCAAAAUAAUUAGAAUUUGGGAUGGCCGUUUAGCUAACUUCGUGGCUUUUCCCCAAAGUAACACUACGUUAGUAUCUUUAGGUACGAUUUAAUUAAAUAACCUUCUUAAAAUUCGGGUGCGCAUUGAUGCGACUCAAAUCCAAAUCUCGACGGAGUCAAAAUGUGUUGAUAACUACGGGUGCAUUGAUUGCGACGUGGUUCGAAAUGCAUUUUCACAACGUCGCAAUUCUGCUAAAAUAAAUAACAAUAAAAGCGGUUUACAAAUAAAAGGCACAUAAGUUAACAUGUAUUAAAAUCAGAUAAAACCAAAUACAACAGUUAAGCGACCGUGCUAGAACCACGGAACUCAGGAAUGCCUAACACCUUCUCCCGGGUUAACAGAAUUCCUUACUCGGAUUUCUAGUUCGCAGACUGUUAACAGAGUCAUAAUUUCCUCGGUUCGGGAUGCCAUCGAUGACUUGGGACACCAUUAAUCUCUCAAGUGGCGACUCUCAAUAAUUAAUAAUCAAAUCCCGUUCCGAUUGUCCUUUAAUUAGAAAAACUCAUUUACGCUCCUCUUGCGGGGUAUAGUGAAAAAGGAGGUGUGACAAAAGUCAACCUCUCGUCUGUACUUCUUCUAGAUUAGACGGGAUACUCAUUGGGUACACGUUAUUUUCGUACUCAUACUACACUUGCUGUGCAUUUUUGUUGCACAGGUUCAUAUGUGGCUAGUGCCUUAGUGGCAUAGCGGCAUGGUUGAUACAGAGACUUAGGUGAGCUGCAAUUAUCGAGAUGACCCGCAGCCAGCAGAGUUUCCUUCAGAGUAUUGUAUUGUAUUUUCAUUUAUGUCCACUUAUAUUCCGGACAGUUACUGUAUUUUAUUUCAUUCCCUAGUAAAUGCUCAUGCGAUUGUGACAUCGGGUUCUGGGGGGAUCACGGGAUUUUUCAGUAGUUAAAAUUUGUAAAGACAUCAUCAUUUAUUCAUGGAGUUUAUUAUUUAUUAUUCAUUUGUUUAAAAGAAAAUGAUUUCAAAACAAAUAAAAUGGGAAAAUUCUAGUAAAUUGUGGUUGGCUUACCUGACCGUGGUGUCCGGUGCCAUCACGACCCUUAGUGGAUUUUGGGUCGUGACAACAUGGUAUCAGAGCACUAGGUUCUCUUAGGUCUCGCGAGUUAUGAGCAAGUCUAGUAAAGUCUCGCAGAUAGGUACCGAGACGUCUGUACUUAUCUUCGAGAGGCUAUAGGACUGUUAGGAGCACCUCUCUUCUUGAUUCCUCAUCGUGCGAUUUGAUCCCUUGGGGCUUAUGCCUUUGUUUCCUUCCUACUCAAUCUUACACGGUGCGAACCGCUUGUUAUAAAUCGAGAAUUGAAGAAUUGUAAAGGUACUACAGAUGUGGUGCGGGAUGUUUCUCCCAAUAUAAUAUGUUGGGCUAUUGGCGUCGCCUUGCGGAAGGAUUUUUCUAUCGUUUUGGCUCGGUAGUUGUGCUUCUAAGGGCUUGGAGACUAUGCACAGGUUGAUAGCAUGCUCACGAUUGGUUAUCGCACAGUAUUAACUUAAUGGUAGGAUACUUGCCUAUGUGUUGGGCCGUGAAUGAUUAAAAAGGAAGUCUACUCAGUGCACGAUUCAGAGAUCUGCUAUAUUAUUUCUAGCAGGGGAAAAACAAUUGGCCUAUGAAUGUCCAGAUUUGGGGUGAUGGAGUAACAAGACUUGGUAUUUUUGAGCGUGGUGGAAUUUUUCAUCUACGAUGUGGUGUCGUUGUCCUCGAUUGUAUGUGUUAAUUUUUCCAGUGUUAUGGUUUUCUGCAAUUCGUCUUUGGGGUAAGAUAUUAUGAAAUAAUAUGGGAGAAACAACUGUCACAGAUCACGGGGUACGGUGGUUCAGGAUUCAAUCGGUGUUACUAAUGCUGACGACUCGAGAAAGAUUUUUUUCGGGAAAGUUUAAGGUUAGUAGCGAUUUGAGGGUUCAAGUGCUACGAAGAUAGAUUUUAUUUAAGGCAACUGAACAACGGAGGAUGAGAAAAGGAUAUGUGGGGAAUGUCAGGCGGUGGUUAAAAUUUCUAGAAGACUAGUUAUAGGAAGCAAAGAUCGAGUAGUCGAUUAAAAGGGUGAGUUCCACCAAAGAAGGAGAGUGGCGGAGUUGCGUGAGGGCUUUCUGAUAGGAUGACUACGCACCUUAAGGAGAGCUUGGGAGGAUUUGGAAAUUUUAGUGAUUUGUGAUUAUGGUCUACAGAAUUAAUUUGAAGUAUGGGCUAUUAUGCGGCAGGAGAUUUGAUAUAACGGGAAGGAGCUGCUUGAAAUGAAGAAGGAUUCAACAUAACUUUGAAUUGGAAGGAUGUUGCCGCACAUUUAAUUGAUGUCCACGAGGGGUGAAUGGACUUGUGCAGUUAGAGGGUGAGCCCGGACUCAGUAUGGGGUAUUGAUGUCAUAGUGAUGGUACCCCGUGCAGCAAUGUUGGAAGAUGUCGGGAAGUAAUUUCCACAUGUGGGUUAUUCCCUGUGAGCAGGUUAGCAGUCGCGUGGUUGACGAGGCUUCUGCGAAGAAUUCUAUUUGGUGUACAACAAAGAGAUCGGUCGUGCGAAUGUGGUUGAUGAUUCAGAGUAUAAAAGAGGGUUUACAGCAAGAUUCCGUUAUUUUUGGCAGUUGAUUGCGCAAGGUUAUGUCAAUAAGAGAUAAAGAAUCCUAGUGAAUUCCAAAGUUGUGUAAUAGUGGCUUCAAGCUAAGUGGGAGAGUCCCACUGCCUAUGAUUGGAUUGCAUGGUUAACUACUUCUGAGAUUUCUGGUUAUUAGCAUAUUGAUGGGCUAUUUCAGCUAUGAGAAAAGAACUUAAGAGGUAAUCUGAGCGAAAGAAUUGUUAAAUGUGUGCUAUGUUUGGCCUUAUUGGCUCAUGUUCAGACUUGGGAAAGGAUUCGGGAUUUAUGCCUGUAUAGAUGCGGGUUUCAAGGGAAAUGAUUCUGCCAGGUGCUUCGUCGAGAAGGUAUUCAUGCACUAGAAGAUUCAUGGAGUUGAUUAUAUUCGGGGCCAAGUCAGAGCAGGUGGCUUUCAACAACGGUCCUAGUGGAUUCAAAGGGGUAAAGUGUGGUGUCUAAUGAUUUCUAGCCUAUAGAAAUGGUUAAGAAUCAAGCUUUUGUAUCAUCUUAUGAGAAGAGGCCCAGAAUGUUCUAUGAUGUUUUGACUUGCUGUGUAGCAUUUGGGAGGUAUGAAAUGGUUUGUGGGAUUUGAGACAGCAUGGUCUCAUGAUUCAAGGUCACUUGGGAUGAGUGCGGAUGGAGUGUGUUAUGUGUUGAAUAGGGUUAUCAUUAUUUCUAAGCAAUAAAGGAUANNNNNNNNNNNNNNNNNNNNNNNNNGUACGUGUGAGGUUUGCCGGCCGCUGUAAUUGAUAUUAUUCUAAAAUAUUCUUCUACUAUGGCCUGUCAUGUGAAGGCGGAUCCCGGAAGGGCUAUGGUGGCUUAGACCACUACUUAGAGGUUUGUAUAUUCUACAGUUAUGAGAAUUCACCUGUGUGUUGCUGUGGUUCUCGUGAAGUGAGUUAAGUGAAAUGUUUUAUAUGAUGAAGUGUUAAUCUAUUAGUGAUUCCGGGAUUAUUAUGAAAAUCGUGUUCUAUUGUAUAUUGGCAUGUUGGGUGUAGUGAGUGGUUUGGAAUUUGAGGUGAGGAUCAAGGUCGCAGUUCGGUUUUGACAAGGAUGUCAUGAGCUCGGAUGAGCAGGAAAUGAGUUUCGAUGUUUAAGGUAAGUUGGUAUUGUCUUCAGCGUCACCUAAGAUCGGUGUUUUGUGAAGAAAGGCUUUGUAUCCUGGUUAAAGAUUAUUGAUCGCUCUUCAACAUUAGUGUGGCCGGUGGUUUGGAUGUACAGACCUAUCAUCUGUUACAGAAUGGUUAUGGGAGUAUGCCCCACUGGAAGGUUGUAUAAGUAUGGCAUGUGGUGACUUGAUUGAUUGAAGAGUUAAACCAAGUAUGAAGAUUGUAGUGAUGUCGUUAAAUUGAGAAUUGAUGCCUGAUGGCACUCGAUUUAUUGGGUUGUGGAAUGUGGAGGAUUACUCCGGUUAUGAUGGUUGUUCUUGUGUGUUAUGAGAAAAAAGGGGUGAUUAUGGACCCAGGAAAGGUUAUUGGCCUAGUUCAGUGUGAUCAGAACCAGUUUGAGGUUUAUGGAUGGAUUUAAAUGUGAAUAUGGGCUCUAUAUCAGGCCAAAUGUGUUCAUUUCAGCAAUGCGCUCCUUAUGUAAGAGUAGUCGGGAUGUUAUUUCAUCGUCAGCUAUUUCAUGUAAUAGUGUAUUCCACCGUGUGAGUUGUGAGACAGCUUGAUGAAUUUCUUAUGUGUUGAGGUUAUACGUAGAGAUGAUGUUAUACGAGCAGUUUGUAGCUUAUAGCGCUAUAUGUCUACCCAGGGACGGUAUUAUGCACUUGACGUGUUGAUGACUGACAUUCGGUAUUUUGGUGUAAUAGGCAAUCUAGGUCGGUGUGUAUCUCCGUAUAUGAAUUUUAUGUGUGGAUCGGGUGGCAUGCCGCCAUGGGUAUGUUGUUUGGAUCGGGUUCAUGACGCAACAGUGUGAUGUUGAGUACAGUUCCCUGUAUCUAUUUUUGUGUGUUUUGUUUCCUAUUUUCUGAGGAAAGCUUAUAUUAGUUGUGUGACCGCGUCGCAUGUAUGAUUCAUGAGUGGGGUGUCUAUUCAAUUAUGUUGACUGCGUCACAUGUAUGAUUCGCGAGCGGGGUAAUUGGAUUUCCUUCUCAGAGUUUGUUUUCCUUUUGUAUCGCUUUCGAAUUGGAAGCCUAUUGGCACAUUAUGGCAUCAUAUGAGACUUUUGAUCAUGUCCGGGGUGGCUUAUCGCCUGAGCAGUUCAUACUAGGUGAGACGAGGUCAUUGGAUUUAGGAUCAGUGCAAUCUGAUUUUAUGAAGUAUAUUAAGGAGCUAAGACCAUUAUUUGGUUCAGAAUGAGGUGAUGGUUCUUGUCAGGAGUAUAGACCUAAUGAUUUGUCGGUUCGGCAGUUGGUUAUGAAUUUUUAUACAUCUUUUUCGUUGUGGCAGUAUUGUAAGAGUUAGAGCAAGACCUAUGUAUGUCAUGAGGCGCAAUAGGAGCUUCAGAUUUGUGGAAUUUCGACUAAUUUGAUUAGAGGAUGUUAUUGUGGUCCGGUGAGUAAAGUGGUGCAAGGUGUGAAUUCAGCUAACGUAUGCGGUCAAGUUUUGGUGCUGCGUGUAGUUAUCGAUACAGUGAGCGUAUGUUGGAAACAAGCCUGGUAGAGAAUUCCGGAUGUUAGAAUUGGGAUCUAAGGCUUAUUUGCUUAAGUGAAGAAGGAUAUCUUCAGAUUUAUCGAGCUAGGGUGCCCAGCUGAGUUGUGGCAGCACGGGUAGGUGCUCGAGGUGUUAAACAGUGAUUUCAGACUACUUUUGUAUAGUUCUCAGCACGUUCGAGGACGAACGUAUGUUUAAGUAGGAGAGAAUGUAAUGACCGGACCGGUUGUUUUGAGCUCUAGCACGUCGUUCAGCAGUUUGAGGCCAUGAGCAGCUUGACUUAAAGUAUUAUGACUUGUGGACACGAUCGGAAUUGAAUUCUAGGAAGUUCUGAGUUGAUUUGGAAAGAGAAUUCUAAUUUCGGAAGCUUUAAGUUGAAAGAAUUGACUAUGGUUGGAUUUUUGAGUAAACAACCUCGGAAUAGGGGUUCGAAUGUUCAAACAGGUUCGUAUGAUAAUUUCGGACUUGGGCAUAUGUCCGGAUCGGGUUUUGAAAUACCCAGGAACGUUUUGGCGCCUAUUGUGGAAGUUAGCAUUUUGGAAGAAUUUUCAUAAGUUUGGGUUGAAGUGCAUUUCAGUGUUAUCGAUGUACGUUUGGGAUUCCUAGUCUGGGAGUAGCUCCGUAUGGUGAUUCUGGAGUUGGGAGCACGAUCGGAAGUGAAUUCGGAGGUCCGUAGUUCAUUUUGGAGUCAUUUGGCUAAAGAUAGAAAUUUUAAGGUUUUUGAGAAGUUUGAUAGAGAGUUGACUUUUUGAUACCAGGGUUAGAUUCUGAUUCUGGAAUUUGGAGUAGGUCCGUAAUGGCAUAUAUGACUUGCGUGCAAAAUUUGAUUUCAAUCGGACGUGAUUUGAUAGGUUUAAACAUCGAAACUAGAAGUUUGAAAUUCUAAAGUUCAUUAAGCUUAGAUUGGAGGUCGAUUCAUGGUUUUAACGUUGUUUGAUAUGAUUUGAGGCCUCGAGCAAGUUCGUAAUGUGUUUUCGGACUGGUUGGUAUGAUUGGUUGGGGUCCCGGGGGCCUCGGGUGGAUUCCGGGUGGUUAAUAAAUCGAAAUUGGAAUUUUUGAGAAGGCUGAAGUUGCUAGUUGCUGGUGUAACCGCUCAUGUGAAACUAGGGCUGCAGGUGCGGAGCCGUAGAAGCGGCCUUCAUGCUGCAGAAGCGGCCUUCGUGCCGCAGAAGCGGAAAUGGACGCCUAGGCUGGGACUGCAGAUGCGGGACCGCACCUACGGAAGGAGUAGCGCAGAUGCAGAAGUUGAAGGCCUGGGGGAAGACCGCAGAAGCGGCAAUUGGUCCGCACCUGCGGGACCGCAGAAGCGGUCAAUAGACCACAGGUGCGAAAGGACCGGAGGCAGUGAGUGUUUUAAAAAUCGGGAUUUGGCCAUUUUCUCUCAUUUUUCUCUUGGCUUGGGCGAUUCUUGGAGGGUUUCAAGAGGGGGGUUUUCAUCAGCAACGAUAAGGUAAGCUAUCCCCCCUCCUAUCUUGAUUUAAAUACAUUGAUUAUGCACAGAUUUUAGCACGAAAAUUGUAGAAACUUGGGGNNNNNNNNNNNNNNNNNNNNNNNNNUCGGGGUUAGGAGUUGUUAUACAUCGGAUUGUAAUGAGUAAUUGAACAUAUAUUAAUGGAUUUGCCUAACUAUUGGCUAGUUUUGGAGCAUUGUGCAUCGAUUCGAGUCUUCAGAAGAGCGUGGAAUGUCGAUUAUGGAUCUUCGGAGCGAGGUGAGUCUCCUCUUUAACCUUGUAAGAGGGAAUUGUCCCCAUAGGUGAGUUAAUUGGUUAUGUGCUCCUAUUUGUGGGGGCUACGUACGCACGAGGUGACGAGGGUCCGUGCAUAGCUACUAUUAUGCUAUUGUUCGGGUAGUCUAGGACCCAAAAGCAUGCUGUACUUGGAAAUAUUUGUAUUCCUAUUGACAGUUUAAAUUGCUUAAAUUCUAUCGAAAUGAUAAAUGAAUUUCUAAAAGGAUUAAACUUCAUUUUUCUUAAAUCGUUAAAAAAAGGAGAAUUUGGAUUUUUCCUUGGAUAGUUGUUCCCUAAUGAAGACUUGAUUAACUGUUUGAAUAUGUGAUUCUAUGUGUACCUGCGUCACAUGUAUGAUUCUCUAGAUGGGUGGUUGUUUAUUUUAUGUUGGUUGCGUCGCAUGGAUGAUUCAUGAGCAGGGUAAGAGAUGCAUCUAUGGUUCGCGCCGUUCGACCCUCGGCAGUGCACAUUUUGCAUUUAUGUUGGAUCGGGCCGUAUGACCUCGACAUGAUUUGCGCAUGCUUGUAUUGUUUGCCUUGAGAUUUAUUGAUAUUGAUAUUUUCUCUCAACGACUUGAGAUAAUUGUUAACUAAUGGAUUAUGAGUCCGGAGACUUGAAUAAAAAGGAACUUUUACCUGUUCGUAGCUUAUUUGAAAUUACUGUCGUUCUUAAUAAAUCCAUGAUUACUCGCAUUAAAAAUAUAUUAUUAUUGGACCACUAGUAAGUGUCGAAGUCGACCUCUCAUCUCUACUUCUUUGAGAUUAGACGAGAUACUCAUUGAGUACACGUUGUUUUCGUACUCAUACUACACUUGCUGUGCAUUUUUGUUGCACAGGUUUAUAUGUGGCUAGUGGCUUAGUGGCAUAACGACAUGGUUGAUAUGGAGACUUAGGUGAGCUGCAAUUAUUGAGACGAGCCGCAACCAGCAGAGUCUCCUUCAGAUUAUUGUAUUGUAUUUUUAUUUCUGUCCACUUGUAUUCCAAACAGUUACUGUAUUUUAUUUCAUUCCCUAGUAAAUACUCAUGCACUUUUCACACCGGGUUCUGGGGGGGAUCACGGG
rnacentral:lncRNA from 1 species